rnacentral:rRNA from 1 species
AUGAUAAGAACGGAGGGACCACUUAAGAAAACCACUCAUAAAUUAUCCUCCGGCACCGCUACUGCUCGGAGCAAAAUCUCACACCUAUCCCCCGUCGCUGUCUUUGCCUCCCUAGGCCCUCGCCGCCCUUCUGCCCGACGCCCAUGCCGUUCGUUCCUCGCCGGAAUCAAGGUGAAACGUCACCGCCUUGCUUCCACACUGCUGCAGCUGCAGGUCAAGUGUUUGACAGCAAAAACUGAGCAAAAAGAGACGGAGGGACUACUUAAGCAGAUCACACUGAUUACACAGCAAAAACUGAGCAAACACAAGGCUCAGCGCACUUCUCGAUGGACAGGGUUGCUCAAAAAGUUUCACCAACAUAAUCUAAGCUGGUGGUAA